UAUUUUAAAUAACUUGCUGAAAUGAAAAGGAUCAAGGCAGGGUGUGUUUGCUCUGCUAGUCGUCUCUGAUAAGGCGUACAUUUACCAGGCACACAUCUCCUUGAGACCAUUCACUUCAUUCCACUGCUGCGAGACAAUGAAAGAAACUCACUCUUGCAACUUGCUUCUGCUGCUACUGCACCUGGCAGGAUCAGCUGUAACGAAUGCUGGAGGUAGUAACGGUAUCUCUGUUCUCUUGGACCCAGUCAUUGUUGGACCUGACUUUGUGACGGUGGGUGUGCCAUGCAGUUUUGAGUGUGUUGCCCAGUGCUUUCCCUCCUGUAACUACACCAUGGGUAAAGACGGGCAGGUUGAACCUGGAAACAAUCUGUUCUUCACGGUUGUUCAAUGGAAGGAGACACUAACAAUUACCUGCACUGCAAGAAAUACAUCUGGGGUGUCCUCCACUGUUGAAAAGAUCCUACAGGUUUUAGAGGGACCAAACAACGUAACUAUCAUUGGCCCUGACCUGAUGACCCAAGGGUACUCUGAGAGCUUCCAGUGUCACGCCAACUGUCGUCCCUCCUGCAACUACACCUGGACAGUGGAACAAUCACUUGUGGGAAAUGGGGGCAAUAUUACUAUAAAUUCCUCAGAUUUUGCAUUCCCCGUGAAACUGGACUGCCAGGCAGAAAACAGUGUGUCUGGUCUAUACGCUAUGGCAAGCAGAACCAUCCCUGUGAUAUUUGGUCCAUCAGAGGCUGAAAUCAUUGGUCCAGACGUCGUUGUCGUCGGCGUCAGGUCUGAAUUUCAGUGCUCUGCCAAAUGCAUUCCCAGCUGUGACUACUUCUGGAUCUAUGAAGGUCGGCUUGUCAAUGGCAGCAAGAUGGAGAUGACGGCCAACAGACACGUGAAGUCAGAGAUGAUUACAUGCAAGGUUGAAAAUACGGUCUCAGCUCAUUCUGAAGUGGUCCGCAGGACCAUAAGGGUGGAAGAAAAGUCCAAUGCCACAAAGGUGACACAGAUUAUGGCCCUGUUCCUGUUUGCCCUAACAAUCACAUUUGCCAGUGUAAUCUCACCAUGAUCCAGCAGAGGGCAGUGUGGUACAAG
ensembl:lncRNA